GAUGAACGCUAGCGGCAGGCCUAAUACAUGCAAGUCGAACGAGAUUAAGCGGCUUGCUUCUUAUGAAAGUGGCGCACGGGUGCGUAACGCGUAUGCAACCUACCUUAAUCAGGGGGAUAGCCCGAAGAAAUUCGGAUUAAGACCGCAUAAAAACACAGGAUAGCAUUAUCCAAUGUUCAAAUAUUUGUAGGUUUAAGAUGGGCAUGCGUGUCAUUAGCGAGUUGGCGGGGUAACGGCCCACCAAGGCGACGAUGGCUAGGGGGUCUGAGAGGGUGACCCCAUACAUUGGGAGUGAGAGAAGGCCCAGAGUCCUACGGGAGGCAGGAGUGGGGAAUAUUGCAUAAUGGGCGGAAGCCUGAUGCAGAAACGCCGCGUGAGGGAUGACGGCAUUCGGGUUGUAAACAGAUUUAGCCUGUGACGAAGCGUGAGUGACGGUAAUGGGUAAAGAAGCACCGGCUAACUACGUG
rnacentral:rRNA from 1 species